AGUUUUCUACUCACAAGCUCAGAAGCUGAAGAACAGGAUGUCAUAUGGCUACCCUGAUGAGAGCCCAGCUAGUCUUUGGAGAGGAAUACCCUUCUUUCUGGGAUGACGGAAAAUGGGCUUACACGCACUUUAAGGUGAAUUCCGGGAGAGUGAACCCAAGCCCUAAUAUCUACGCAGCAAGAACUUUACCGGCUGAAGGACUGAAAAGAUAGCUCAAGUCUGUCCGACCGUGAAUCAUGAGAGAGUCUGGGAAGUGUGGGCAGAAAGGCGAUGGCCCAGCACACUCCAUGCACAGAGAGACAGCGAGAGGUGCAGGAAAUCGGGGUGAGCAUGGAAGGACGGAGUCUAACGAGAAGGAACCACCCGGGAAAGGACACCUGAAGCCAUUGAGGGCCAGACAUCUUCAAAGCCUCGA